GAUGAACGCUGGCGGUGUGCCUAAUACAUGCAAGUCGAGCGAACAGACGAGGAGCUUACUCCUCUGACGUUAGCGGCGGACGGGUGAGUAACACGUGGAUAACCUACCUAUAAGACUGGGAUAACUUCGGGAAACCGGAGCUAAUACCGGAUAACAUUUUGAACCGCAUGGUUCAACAGUGAAAGACGGUCUUGCUGUCACUUAUAGAUGGAUCCGCGUCGCAUUAGCUAGUUGGUAAGGUAACGGCUUACCAAGGCAACGAUGCGUAGCCGACCUGAGAGGGUGAUCGGCCACACUGGAACUGAGACACGGUCCAGACUCCUACGGGAGGCAGCAGUAGGGAAUCUUCCGCAAUGGGCGAAAGCCUGACGGAGCAACGCCGCGUGAGUGAAGAAGGUCUUCGGAUCGUAAAACUCUGUUAUUAGGGAAGAACAAAUGUGUAAGUAACUGUGCACGUCUUGACGGUACCUAAUCAGAAAGCCACGGCUAACUACGUG
rnacentral:rRNA from 1 species